CAGGCAGCUGUUCACCAACUAAUUUUAUGCCUUACACAACUCAGCACAUAUAUUCUGCCCUCUCUAUAGAUUAUGCUGAUGCCCCACCGUAAGAACCUGUAGCUCUUUACUGGUUCUGUGGGAGGUGACGUGGCCACAAAUCAGUGCCUGGGACACCUUACAGUGCUACCACUGUCUGAACAACAGCCAAAGGGUGGUCAAGACAUCUACUGCAACUUCAUCUUUAGUGUGUCUGCUCUGCUGCACCUGGGAGAUAAAGAUGGCUCUGGCUUGCUGAUGACAUCUGAUCUGAUCUGACUCCUUGCAAUUUGACUCCUGUAUUACUG